ensembl:lncRNA
ACCGGAAAGUAGCUAAACAGACAGACUGCUGACGUCUGACGUUACGCACCAGCAAACACCACCCUCCUGUUUCUGUGAGGGGACUGUGCUGUUAAAGGGGCCACUGCUUUCUCAGGAAGUGUGUUAAUUCCAGAUCACAUGACCUUCUCCAUGAUGUCAUUUCCUCCUGAAGAAAAGACUGGCAAGACUCCAAGGCUUUCUGAGUUAUUUUAAAUCUUUUAUUAUUGAUUUUAAUGUUUAUUGAUUUUAAUUAACUGUUUUGUUUUAUUUUAUUGUAUUUUAUGUACAGCGUCUUUGAGUUACUUGUAAAGCAC